rnacentral:tRNA from 1 species
CAGGGAGACAACAAAAUGUUUAAUAUUAUUUUGUCACCUUAGGUCGAUCGGUAUCUCACAUUCUUAAUUUAUUAAGAAUUUCAUUUUCUAAGUUUUUCUAGGUCACACCCAUUAUUUUUCCUGGGCCAUUAGCUCAGGUGGUUAGAGCGCACCCCUGAUAAGGGUGAGGUCCCUGGUUCAAGUCCAGGAUGGCCCAUAUCUCUAUGUUGGGGGUAUAGCUCAGUUGGUAGAGCGCCUGCUUUGCAAGCAGGAUGUCAGCGGUUCGAGUCCGCUUACCUCCACUGAUUACCACCUCUUCCAUAACCGGUAGAAAGGAAAUUUUUUGAGUUGUGAUCAAAGUCUGAAAGAAUCUAGCUUCCUAAUGAAUUCAUUAAGAUGCUGGACUCAUUGAAUUAAUUUCAUUGUUUUCAAAGAACCUUGACAACUGCAUAGAUUAUUUUUAAAGACAAUAAGCAUCUUUAAUGAUGCAGAUUUAUUAUUUGUGCGAAUGCAUUAAUAACAAUUCUAUUAAGCUGAUGCUUCAAUUUUUGAAGUUAUU